CACGUAGGGUGCGAGCGUUGUCCGGAAUUAUUGGGCGUAAAGAGCUCGUAGGCGGUGUGUCGCGUCGGCCGUGAAAACCUGCAGCUCAACUGUGGGCUUGCGGUCGAUACGGGCAUCACUGGAGUUCGGCAGGGGAGACUGGAAUUCCUGGUGUAGCGGUGAAAUGCGCAGAUAUCAGGAGGAACACCGGUGGCGAAGGCAGCGAACUGGCGCUCGAUUGACGCUCAGGCACGAAAGCAUGGGGAUCAAACAGG
rnacentral:rRNA from 1 species